rnacentral:rRNA from 1 species
GACCUUGAAAUACCACCCUUUAAUGUUUGAUGUUCUAACGUGGACCCGUGAUCCGGGUUGCGGACAGUGUCUGGUGGGUAGUUUGACUGGGGCGGUCUCCUCCUAAAGAGUAACGGAGGAGCACGAAGGUUGGCUAAUCCUGGUCGGACAUCAGGAGGUUAGUGCAAUGGCAUAAGCCAGCUUGACUGCGAGCGUGACGGCGCGAGCAGGUGCGAAAGCAGGUCAUAGUGAUCCGGUGGUUCUGAAUGGAAGGGCCAUCGCUCAACGGAUAAAAGGUACUCCGGGGAUAACAGGCUGAUACCGCCCAAGAGUUCAUAUCGACGGCGGUGUUUGGCACCUCGAUGUCGGCUCAUCACAUCCUGGGGCUGAAGUAGGUCCCAAGGGUAUGGCUGUUCGCCAUUUAAAGUGGUACGCGAGCUGGGUUUAGAACGUCGUGAGACAGUUCGGUCCCUAUCUGCCGUGGGCGCUGGAGAACUGAGGGGGGCUGCUCCUAGUACGAGAGGACCGGAGUGGACGCAUCACUGGUGUUCGGGUUGUCAUGCCAAUGGCACUGCCCGGUAGCUAAAUGCGGAAGAGAUAAGUGCUGAAAGCAUCUAAGCACGAAACUUGCCCCGAGAUGAGUUCUCCCUGAGACUUUAGGUCUCCUGAAGGAACGUUGAAGACGACGACGUUGAUAGGCCGGGUGUGUAAGCGCAGCGAUGCGUUGAGCUAACCGGUACUAAUGAACCGUGAGGCUUAACCUUACAACGCCGAAG